UUUAGUAGUAUUGUUUGAUCCGCCAAAAGAAAGGAGGUGGAAGUAAAAACAAUAAUCUUCUCAAUUUCUUCUUCUUUUCAUUUACCAUCAUCAUCAUCAUCGAUGUUCUCUUUGAUUUGUUUGUGAGCACUACCGUAUGAUAUGGUCCAAUCAAAUUACAAUGUUCGUGGAGAUUGUCAUCAGGCUACCCGCCAAAAUGAUGAGGUGAGUGCAAAAGUGAACCAAAACAUGUUCUGGAUCGUCAAUUCAGGGUUUUUAAUAAUCGUCUGAUCUUCUUCCUUUCUUUUUUUUUUUUUUUUUUUUUUGGGUUUUUAUAUGAUAUGUGUAAGAAUGGAUCGGUACUAUAUGUAACUCACACUGAUUGAUUUAGAUUAGCGCGGAAGUAGAGGAUUCUUACAUAAUCGUUACACAAAAAUAAGUAAAUACAUUUAUAUAUAGCUUCGCUUAGAUGUUCUUUGUGAGUGGGUUUGGAACCAUAUCGAACUCAGAAGACCCUGCAACAUAUUAAAAAGCCAUAUGAAUUGACUACUACAAAAGACUACAAAUAGGUAUAUUACGUUAUCAUUUCUUUGAUAUAAUUCUAAACGUAAGCUAUAGUCUAAAUUAUAAGUACUCCAAUGUCUAUGUAUGUGGAGUAGUUUUUGCAAUGGUAAGGACAAGAGACAUGGAACAUGCUAUCAUUAUGUGGGACUUUGAUUUUUCUUGGCUAAAAGACAGAUAAAAAGAUGGAUGCAAGCUUUUCAUAAGGAAAUAGUUUUUUUUGGUUGAAUAAAUAGGAAAUAGCUUUUUUGGUUGAAUAAAUAUAAGAGAUAAUGGCUUAUGAUCAGUUUUUCAAGAACUCGACAAAACUAACUCUUGUAUUCUCUGUUACAAGAUUGUUUUUGGCCCCACAUUUAGAAGUUGGGACAGUUCAUAGAUAUGGAAAACAGUGGUGUGUACUAUAUAGAUCAUUAAGUAAGAAGACAUCUACACAUAAAGAAACGUGUGGAGGCUGCAUGUCUAUUUAUGAAUGCUUUCUUAUGCAUAAUUGUUGUGUUUACCUUUUAGAGUUCCUUAAAUACUUUCAGUGGUUGUUUCCAUUUGAAUAGUAAUUGGGAUGUGGAUAACGCCCUGACUCAAUGUCAUUGACAUCCCUAAUGAGGAGCUCAUAGUGUCGCCUUACUUCUUCGGCUGACUUGCCACCAACUGCUCUGGCGACGUUAUGCCAACGGUCAGGAGUGUCCUGGUCAUAUAUU
rnacentral:lncRNA from 1 species